rnacentral:rRNA from 1 species
CCGGAAAUAGCUGGUUCUCCCCGAAAACUAUUUAGGUAGUGCGUCAUGUAUCACUUGCGGGGGUAAAGCACUGUUAUGGCUAGGGGGUCAUCGCGACUUACCAAACCAUGGCAAACUCUGAAUACCGCAAAGUGCGAGCAAGUGCAGACGGAGUACGAGUGGGUGCUAACGUUCAUUGUCGAGAGGGAAACAACCCAGACCGCCAGCUAAGGUCCCAAAGACACAGUUAAGUGGGAAACGAAGUGGGAAGGCAUAGACAGCUAGGAGGUUGGCUUAGAAGCAGCCACCCUUUAAAGAAAGCGUAAUAGCUCACUAGUCGAGUCGUCCUGCGCGGAAGAUGUAACGGGGCUCAAACUGUGCACCGAAGCUGCGGAUAUCGAAAGAUAUGGUAGGGGAGCGUUCUGUAGGUCUGUGAAGGUGUCUCGUAAGGGAUGCUGGAGAUAUCAGAAGUGCGAAUGCUGACAUGAGUAGCGAUAAAGCGGGUGAAAGGCCCGCUCGCCGAAAGCCCAAGG